GACGAACGCUGGCGGCGUGCCUAAUACAUGCAAGUAGAACGCACAGUUUAUACCGUAGCUUGCUACACCAUAGACUGUGAGUUGCGAACGGGUGAGUAACGCGUAGGUAACCUGCCUGGUAGCGGGGGAUAACUAUUGGAAACGAUAGCUAAUACCGCAUAAUAUUGAUUAUUGCAUGAUAAUUAAUUGAAAGGUGCAAUUGCACCACUACCAGAUGGACCUGCGUUGUAUUAGCUAGUAGGUGAGGUAACGGCUCACCUAGGCGACGAUACAUAGCCGACCUGAGAGGGUGAUCGGCCACACUGGGACUGAGACACGGCCCAGACUCCUACGGGAGGCAGCAGUAGGGAAUCUUCGGCAAUGGCCGAAAGUCUGACCGAGCAACGCCGCGUGAGUGAAGAAGGUUUUCGGAUCGUAAAGCUCUGUUGUAAGAGAAGAACGGGUGUGAGAGUGGAAAGUUCACACUGUGACGGUAUCUUACCAGAAAGGGACGGCUAACUACGUG
rnacentral:rRNA from 1 species